rnacentral:lncRNA from 1 species
AGGGAAUGCCAUUGGAGCGUGCUGGAGGAACCAGAGCGCUGCAAUCAAUAAUUUAUUGAUGAUUGAUUGAUUGAUUCCUGGAUGAUCCCAGCAGGCUGGGGCUCCCUCAUGGCUGAUCUCCCAGAGCUGUUGGGAAGUUUGCCGUGGUUUUCCCCUCACAUUCCAGGCACUGAGGGUGGGAGACCUUUGAAACCUCCUGGAAGUUUCCAGAUGGCACCGGUACCUCCAGAGGGUGGUGAUACCAUUUGGGAUGAGCCCCCUUUGUGUGUUAUUCCCAUGAUAUUCCUGAAUUCCAGGCCUGUCCCACAGCUGUGGAUGCCCUGGGUGCUCAGGCCCUGCACAGAGCAGCUGUGACAGCCCAGGAUGGAUCCAUCCAGUUCCUGGUGUCCGAGCUGGGCGUGGAUGUCAACGGGAGAGCGACGUCCCUGCGGCUGCCAGCCCUGCACUACGCUGCCAAGCAGGGAGAGGGGAGAUCCCACCUGGAGCAACAGAUCCCAGCCCUGGGAGCAACAUCAGGAGGAUCUGGAGAGUCCAGAGGAGUGCACGGAGCUGCUCCAGCUCUGGAGCCAGGCUGGGAGAGCUGGGAAUGUUCUCCUGGAGAAGGGAAGGAUCCAGGGAGAGCUUCCAGCACAUUCCAGGGCCUGGAGGGGCUCCAGGAGAGCUGGAGACGGACUGGGGACAAGGCCUGGAGGGACAGGACACAGGGAAUGGCUUCCACUGCCAGAGGGCAGGGAUGGAUGGGAUCUGGGGAAGGAAUUCCUGGCUGGGCUGGAAUUCCCAGAGCAGCUGUGGCUGCUCCAGAUCCCUGGAAUGUCCAAGACCAGCUUGGAUGGAGCUUGGAGCAGCCUGGGAUGGUGUGAGGUGUCCCUGCCAUGGCAGGGGUGGCACUGGGUGGGUUCUGAGGUCCUUCCCACCCCAGGAAUUCCAUGUUUGUUUCAUGAAUUCCAGCUGCCAGCUGGGGAGGGACAGGAGAUGUGGCAAAGAAGAGCUGGGAAGGCAGGGGAAGCUCCUGGGAUUUUAUCUGUGUCCUUCACACUGGAGUUGUUUUGAAUUCCAGAACCACUGGAGCUUUCUCCUCCUCCCAGCCCAUGUGGGAAGCAGAGCUGUGAGUCCUGCAGCAUUCCCUGGGAAUGCAGAGCAGAUCCCAAAACUUCCCAGCUGAACAGGAUCCCUCCUGGCAUCUGGGAUCUGUCCCUGUUCAGAUCCAGGAAUGUUAAACCCAGAUUUUAACAUCCCUCUGAACCUUGUGGUGGGAAUAAAACCUCAUCCCAGUGUCCUGCUCCUAC